rnacentral:rRNA from 1 species
UGCAAGUCGAGCGAUCAGACGAGGAGCUUGCUCCUCUGACGUUAGCGGCGGACGGGUGAGUAACACGUGGAUAACCUACCUAUAAGACUGGGAUAACUUCGGGAAACCGGAGCUAAUACCGGAUAAUAUAUUGAACCGCAUGGUUCAAUAGUGAAAGACGGUUUUGCUGUCACUUAUAGAUGGAUCCGCGCCGCAUUAGCUAGUUGGUAAGGUAACGGCUUACCAAGGCAACGAUGCGUAGCCGACCUGAGAGGGUGAUCGGCCACACUGGAACUGAGACACGGUCCAGACUCCUACGGGAGGCAGCAGUAGGGAAUCUUCCGCAAUGGGCGAAAGCCUGACGGAGCAAGCGCCGCGUGAGUGAUGAAGGUCUUCGGAUCGUAAAACUCUGUUAUUAGGGAAGAACAAAUGUGUAAGUAACUAUGCACGUCUUGACGGUACCUAAUCAGAAAGCCACGGCUAACUACGUGCCAGCAGCCGCGGUAAUACGUACGUGGCAAGCGUUAUCCGGAAUUAUGGGGCGUAAAGCGCGCGUAUGCGGUUUUUUAAGUCUGAUGUGAAAGCCCACGGCUCAACCGUGGAGGGUCAUUGGAAACUGGAUAACUUGAGUGCAGAAGAGGCAAGUGGAAUUCCAUGUGUAGCGGUGAAAUGCGCAGAGAUAUGGAGGAACACCAGUGGCGAAGGCGACUUUCUGGUCUGUAACUGACGCUGAUGUGCGAAAGCGUG